rnacentral:rRNA from 1 species
GCACCAUCAAGACCAGGUGGUUGAUAGGUCAGGUGUGGAAGCGCAGCAAUGCGUUCAGCUAACUGAUACUAAUGAGCCGUGCGGCUUGACCAUAUAACCCCAAG